ensembl:snRNA U1 U1 spliceosomal RNA
AUGAUUCCCAAGUGGGCAGGUACCAUGAUCAUGAAUGCAGUUUUCCCAGGGUAUGGCUUAUCCAUUGCACUCCGUAUGAGCUGACCCCUGCGAUUUCUCCAAAUGCAGGAAACUCCACUGCAUAAUUUGUGAUAGUGGGAAACCAG